AUAACUCUGGACUGCCACAGCUUCCAGCAGCAGCCCUGAAUCCCAGGCAGAUAGAGACCUGAGGAAGCAGAGGAUAAAACAGGGGUCUGUAAUUAAAGGCAAAUCUGGGCCAGUGAGAAGCAGAAAAAGUUGAAAGUGAGCUGGUCCUCAGAAAAGGAGAGGGAAAGCAUGGACAUGGAGCUUUAUGGACACAAGGCUCUCAUUACAGCCUCUCCAGGACCAGCUUGGAAGGACAUGCAGGAAAGAUUGUCCUAGAAAACAAGGCACAGAAAGUUAUGACAUUUAUUUAAAAACACAAACUAGAAUCCCACUUACAGGAAGUACAAAAAAUAAAGGUUAUUUCUUGCUUUCCCAAGACCCUGGAGUUGUGUCCACUCUCCAGGCUAGAAUUCCAACACACCUAGUCCUGAAUGGUGGUAGGAGUGGGCUGAAGACCUCAGUGGGCCAGAAGGAGGGGCAGGAAGGACAAGCCAUGAGAAUUUAAUGUAUUGAGUGUGCUCCCACCUCUGAUGUGGGGACAGAACCAGUGAUGCCAUGGCUGGGCUGUUAAGACAUGGUCAGGCGUGGGUUUGCCAGGCUGCCCAGUUUUGGCAGCCUCCAAGAGCUCUCCUGUCCCUGAUGUCUCUGCCAUCAACAAGAGCAGCACCAUCUCCAUGCAUGCACUGGGAUGCUGCAAAGGGCCCUGGAGCAGUGUCCUCCCCUGGAUGAGCCCAGAGCAGAAUCCUGUCCCAAGGGAUCUGCCCAUGACCCCCUCACCCAAAGCAGCAGCGUUCCAUCCGUGCAGCUUCUCCCUGUGGAUAACUCUACCCCCUUCCAUCUAUCACUCCGGGCUUUCAGGAGCUGUCAGAAUCCUCCUGCAAAGGGACAAUGGCAGCCCAGGGUCCCUGUUUCCCCCAGAGAAAGGGGUUUGUGGAAUGAUCAAUGGCUUUUCCCAGCUGGAGACAAAGGGCUGGCCACUGACCAGCUGCAGGAGGGCAGCUCUUUGUCCUGCCCCGAGGUCUGGGUUGGAAGGCAC